GACGGAGGUGGCAAGCGUUGUCCGGAAUCAUUGGGCGUAAAGCGCGCGCAGGCGGUUCCUUAAGUCUGUUGUGAAAGCCCACGGCUCAACCGUGGAGGGUCAUUGGAAACUGGGGAACUUGAGUGCAGAAGAGGAAAGUGGAAUUCCCGGUGUAGUGGUGAAAUGCGUAGAUAUCGGGAGGAACACCAGUGGCGAAGGCGACUACCUGGCCUGUUCUUGACGCUGAGGCGCGAAAGCUAGGGUAGCAGACGGG
rnacentral:rRNA from 1 species